AGAGUUUGAUCAUGGCUCAGAUUGAACGCUGGCGGCAUGCCUUACACAUGCAAGUCGAGCGGCAGCGCGGGGGCAACCCUGGCGGCGAGCGGCGAACGGGUGAGUAAUACAUCGGAACGUGUCCAGUAGUGGGGGAUAACCAGUCGAAAGAUUGGCUAAUACCGCAUACGAUCUACGGAUGAAAGCGGGGGAUUCGCAAGGACCUCGCGCGAUUGGAGCGGCUGAUAUCAGAUUAGGUUGUUGGUGAGGUAAAAGCUCACCAAGCCGACGAUCUGUAACUGGUUUGAGAGAACGACCAGUCACACUGGGACUGAGACACGGCCCAGACUCCUACGGGAGGCAGCAGUGGGGAAUUUUGGACAAUGGGCGAAAGCCUGAUCCAGCAAUGCCGCGUGCAGGACGAAGGCCUUCGGGUUGUAAACUGCUUUUGUACGGAGCGAAAAGGUCUUGCCUAAUACGUGAGAUCCAUGACGGUACCGUAAGAAUAGACC
rnacentral:rRNA from 1 species